UACGUAGGGCGCAAGCGUUGUCCGGAAUCAUUGGGCGUAAAGAGCUCGUAGGUGGUCUGUUACGUCUGCUGUGAAAUCCUAGGGCUUAACCCUGGGCCUGCAGUGGAUACGGGCAGACGUAGAGGUAGGUAGGGGAGAAUGGAAUUCCCGGUGUAGCGGUGAAAUGCGCAGAUAUCGGGAGGAACACCGGUGGCGAAGGCGGUUCUCUGGGCCUUACCUGACACUGAGGAGCGAAAGCGUGGGGAGCGAACAGG
rnacentral:rRNA from 1 species